rnacentral:rRNA from 1 species
AUUGUCUAAGAUAAGCCAUGCAUGUCUAAGUAUAAGUGUUAUACAGCGAAACUGCGAAUGGCUCAUUAAAACAGUUAUAGUUUAUUUGACAAUCGAAUUUACAUGGAUAACCGUGGUAAUUCUAGAGCUAAUACAUGCUGGUGUGCCCGACUUUUCGGAAGGGCGGUAUUUAUUAGAUAACAAGCCAAUAUUCCUCUGGUCUAUUGUGGUGACUCAUAAUAACUGAUCGAAUCGCAAGGCCUAUGGCCGCGAUAAGUCAUUCAAGUUUCUGCCCCAUCAGCUUUCGAUGGUAGUGUAUUGGACUACCAUGGCGUUUACGGGUAACGGAGGAUUAGGGUUCGAUUCCGGAGAGGGAGCCUGAGAAACGGCUACCACAUCUAAGGAAGGCAGCAGGCGCGUAAAUUACCCAAUCCUGAUUCAGGGAGGUAGUGACAAGAAAUAACGGACCGAGGCCUUCGGGCUUCGGGAUUGCAAUGAGCCGAAUUUACACCCCUUAGCGA